AAACGACGGCGUCUAAGUGUCUUGUAGAUUUAAACGGUGUAGUUUUAAUGAUUUACCUAUCUUGUUUCCGCAUGACGCGAGCUAGACGAACGCAAGCCCAGUAGCUCGCACAUCUGGAUCGCAGUGACUACUAUCCUUUGAUCCGAUUUUGUAUAUUCCAAUUUGAUGCGAGGAGAAGCUACUCGCUUGAUUUCGAUCUCAUACAAUAACGUAUCAUACAUUAUCUAGGAUUACCUGUAAGUUCCUAUAGAUGUAACAUCAUUUUCUUGGUUGUUUAUGCGAUUCUCUGGCUGGGUUCUGGAAGAGUAGUUAAUUUUCUCUUAUUUUUGCAAUAACCUUCAAAUGCCAAAUGCUGCUUUCUACAGUAUUAUUUUACUUUGGAAGUUGAGCUAAUCUGAAUAGUUUUUUUUCUCUCGCUCGCCAACUGUUUGAUCGAAGGUCUAUAUGUUUUCUUUGUGUUUUGGUUGUUCACCCAUAUCUGUUUAGGGUAGGUUUCAAAUGGCUUUGAGGAAGAUAAUGUGGCAAAAUCUUGCGGGAGAUUGCGGUAGAUGCAUUACGCACUUCAGAUUUUAUAGCUCCCAAAUUGUCUGGAAAGCUCUGCGGCCUAUGAUACUGAAGAGAAUAGAAAAACGGCCUAAGAACUAUCCUAUUCGGGACAUGGUUCCCGUUGCAAAAAAUGUCCUCAAGGCCAGAAUGCUUCUUAUUCAAGGCGUAUCCACUCUGAUCCAAGUAAUUCCCGUAGUUAAGUGCAAGUUCUGUCUAGAAGUUUAUAUUGGAGAGAAAGGUCAUUUAAUUCAGACUUGCUGGGGUUACAGCGGUGGGCCUAAAAAUCGGGUUCAUGAAUGGAUUACUGGUGGUUUAAAUGAUAUACUUGUUCCAGUAGAGACAUUUUGCCUGAAUGAUAAGUUCCAAAAGGUUAUUAAACAUGACCAAAGAUUCAAUUUUGGUCGUAUUCCUGCAGUUGUUGAGCUGUGCAGGCAGGCAGGUGCUGAUCUAACUACUGAGAAUUUGUACUCCGGUACAAGUAUUUCCCACAGUCGCCUCGGUGGCAUUGAUGGAGCUGAGUCUUUGUCACCUGGGGAUCUUAGCGUUGUAGCCAAUGGAACUUUGAGAGCAUGGGAGACUCUUAGAUCAGGGGUGCCAAAGUUGUUGUCCGUUUAUCCAGCAAAAGUUUGCAAGUACUGUUCAGAAAUUCAUAUAGGGCCAUCUGGACACAAUGCUCGCCUUUGUGGUAUGUUUAGGCAUGAGAAUUGGCGUGAAUCACACUUUUGGAAGAAGGCUGGAAUAGAUGACCUGGUGCCUCCGAAGAUUGUGUGGCGGCAACGACCUCAAGAUCCUCCAGUUCUCUCAAAUAAGGGGCGGGAGUUUUAUGGACAUGCACCAGCAGUGGUGGAUCUAUGCACAAAGGCUGGUGCUAUUGCACCAUCAAAGUAUUCUUGCAUGAUGAAAGUUCAGGGUUUGUCAGCACCAGUUUGAUUUUGAAGAUGUCCUAUGAGUGAACAUGUAGUGGGCUGGGCGUCAAGGUAUAAUGUUUUGGCAGUUGAGGCUUGGACCCUCUAGAGCUUAUCACUAAUCUAAAUUUGGGCCCAGAUAGACACAUGAGUCGUGAUUGAGUUGCUUUUCAGGUUGCUGGUAUUGCCUCCAACUUGGUUUUCGUUUCCCUUGCGAAGGACAUGGAAGAGGGGAACAUGUCAAGUAUCCGCUUGGGAUCAUGUCUUCUUAGGGUUAUUUUAGAUGUACAAUUCCAUUUCGGGAGUAAUAUUCCAUUUUCUUUACCCUAUAUAUAUAUAUAUAUAUUAUUUUGAGUUAUCAUGUAAAAAAAGCUAUAACUAUCCUUGGGCCUGUGUAAUAAUAAAUGGAAACUGAGAUAGAAAAUGAGAUAAACUAAUUUAUAAUUUUUUUUAAAGAAAUUUACUUUUUCUAUUAAAUUAAAUAAAAAAUUUUAAAAUAUAUAUUAAAAAAAUGAAAUAUAUAAUUAGAGUUUUUGUGUAGUCAAUAUUUUAUAUGCUAUAUUAAUUUUAAAAAAGAGAGAGUACAAAAUUUUAUCUGUUAUUAAAUACAAUAUAACUUUAAAGCAACAAUAAAAGCCACUAAAUGCAUUUGGCUUAAAUCUUUCUAUUUCUUGUGUAAUAAUCGACUUAGGAUGUAAAUAGUAAUCUUCUCAUAAAUAUAUUGUUUGAAAAAGUGAUGCUAUUCAACGUGGAAAUUCAUGCACUAAUUCAAUACACCAAGAAAUGUAGACAGUUGAAUGAAUGUGUCCCACUCAUUCCAGCGUGGGUCCCACUCAUUUAACGGUUCAAAUUACUUGUGUACUGAAUUUUUUUUACACAUUUCUCAUACAAUAACAUUUUCCAUUAAAGAAAAAUAAAAAGAAAAAAAAAGGUAAUAUGGACAGUGCCAAGUGGACAGAAAUCAAUUUAGAAGUGGCAAAAUGGUCUUCCUAUUGUUUUUUAGAACAGUAAAAGCGUUGGUUGUUUUAGUAUAUUAGUAUAAUUUCUAGGGGGAGCUCCAUUUUUCCCUGUUAAAACAUUUUCCCUCUUGAAAUACAAAGAAAAUUGUAGUACAAGGAGAGUGGAGGAGAAUAGGUCUUCUCAUUAAAUAAGCUUGGGAAGAAGAAAGGAACAUAUGAAAGCAAAUCAAAAGAAGAGGACUUUCUGAUUAUAUUGGUCUGAAGAAACUCCCAUUACUGUCUUUUAAUUAUGUAAUUUUAUCAUUCUUAAAUUCAUAAUGCCUUUUGAAGUUGAAUCUAAAACUUCAACCUGCAUAUCUGAUUUCACACUAAUAUCAUUCUCAGACAUCAUGGUGUGUCUGGAUAUAAUUAAUAAUUUUCCAUUAGUGAUUUUGCCUUUCUGGUCUUGGAUUUAAACUAUCCAUGUUCCUCUCUGCUGCAAGGGUUUUGAAUUUGUUACCUUCUAUUUGACUUGCUUAUUUGAUGUAGUGGAUGAAGGAAGUUAUUCAUUAAAAUUCAUAAUUACCUUUGUUUCUGUUUAUGAAUAGAAGUUAAAAUCAUUAGUUUUUACCAUUCCCCUGUCCAUCCUUCCUUCUCUCAUCCUUUUUCUUUUGAAAUGUGAUUUAGUGAACAGCAACCUUUACGACUG
rnacentral:misc_RNA from 1 species